ensembl:lncRNA
UCUUCUUCUUCUUCUUCUUCGUCUUCUUCUUCUUCUUCUUCUUCUUCUUCUUCUUCUUCUUCUUCUUCUUCUUCUUCUUCUUCUUUGUCUUCUUCUUCUUCUUCUUCUUCGUCUUCUUCUUCUUCUUCUUCGUCUUCUUCUUCGUCUUCUUCUUCGUCUUCUUCGUCUUCUUCUUCUUCUUCUUCGUCUUCUUCUUCUUCUUCUUCUUCUUCAUCUUCUUCUUCGUCUUCUUCUUCUUCUUCUUCGUCUUCUUCUUCGUCUUCUUCUUCAUCUUCUUCGUCUUCUUCUUCGUCUUCUUCUUCUUCUUCGUCUUCUUCUUCUUCUUCUUCUUCUUCUUCUUCUUCUUCGUCUUCUUCUUCUUCGUCUUCUUCUUCGUCUUCUUCUUCUUCUUCUCUUUAAUAGACAUUACUACUCAUCUAUGAUCAGUCUGGAUACAUAAGUGUUUUUCCCAUAAUCUGUUUUCAAUACAAACUGUUCGCUAUUGUUUGCCAGUAUAAUUUUUUUCAGUCUAGCUGGAAGUAUCCAGAUGUGACUGGAUUGUGAUGAUACAGGGUACCUACCAUGUGCAAUCACAAAAUGAAAGAGCAACAAAGUCCCAAGGAGAUUCCACCCUAACGAAGAAAACUAAAUCUGUUUAAUUCCAUUAUAGAGGCAGACAUUCAACCACAUCCAGGAAAGCAGGGCUCAUCAUGCAUAACAAUUUUUGGAGAAGACAAACAUCAUCACUCUGAACAUCACCCCUCCUUCUUACCCCCAGCUUUAAUUGCUGAGCACAAUACCAUAUGGCAUGGGGCAUUGCUUUGGCCAGUCUGAGUCAGCUGUCUCAUUUCUGACCCCUCCCAGCUCCUUGUGCCCCCCAGCUCCUUGCUGGCAGGGCAACGUGAGGAACAGGAAAGUUCCUGGCUCUAGGUAAGCACUGCUCUGCAAUAAUUAAACCAUUGGUGUGUCAUCAGCUUUGUUUGGGUCACAAAUCCAAAAUGGCACUAUACUAGGUACCAUGAAAAAAAUUAACACUAUCACAGAUAAAACCUGUUUGUACACUAAGGAAGAUGACAUUGACAAAACUUUAAGCUAAAUACAAGGUGUCUCUUUUCAAUCUUCUGCAAAUGUUGGUUAAAGAAUGCAAAGCUAUGCAGUCAAUAGAAGAGAUCAAAAGCCUGGGCAGAAUUAUUGGUUUUAUUGGAAAUUCGUUAUCAAGCCAUUGAAGAGGAAACUCCUGACACUUGGCUUCUCACUUCUCCCAUUCAUGGUGAUAGAGUAGAAGCUCGCAUCUGGAAGAGCCAUUUGUUAUGUUUUGGCAAUCCUGUAGAAAACUGGAAAAAGUUGAUCACGUUUCAAAACCAUGAAAACCGUUAUGUUUUCCUGCCUCUGUUCUGGGAUGUAUUUCAAACAUUAUUUCAGUGAUAGACUGAAGGAUACAUGCUCCUGUUGUUACAAACACCACUUGAUUUGCAGAAUAACGAUACAUCUCAAAUGUCAUUUUUCAUGUUAUUUUCAAUGCAGCACUGAGCAAGGACUUCACAUCUUGUGGAUCAACUGCUGCUAAGUAGUGAAAGAAACAUCAACAGCCAUUAACCAAUGAGAGAAAAAAGAGUGAGGGUCUGAUAUGAAAGCCCUCUGUGGAAAAUGCUAUAGAAAGAAGGGGAGAGGAGACAAAUGAGAUAAGUUUCCUGAGGUUCUGUGAAAGCUGGAGCAGAAAAAGUGUCAUGUCUGUAAAUGAUGUUUGUACCCUCCUGAGACCCUCUUUGUGCUGAUGUGACCGCCCAGUAAACUAUGAGGGAACAGAGUCAGCUAAGAAAUGACCUACCAAAAAACGUGCAGUAGCAGUGCAUAGCAGUGGUGGCUGUGAAUACUCUUGUGUGAUGAAGGCUGGAUGAUAACAAAGCUACAGUAGUGACACCAAAAGAAAUAUGCACCAAACUAUGAGAGGCUCCAUAUCCCUUAAAGAUGUUGACAAAACUGGCUUUGUUGAACAAGACCUUCAGUAUGAAUGUAUUAUUUUGAAGCAUGGCUCUUUAUUUCCUACUUUUCUUUUUUUUUCCUAUGGCCAGAUCAGUUCUCCCAUACAGGUCAUAACGUGGCUACACAGGUAGCUACUGGCUCAUGGGCAAAGGCAGCAGGAAAUAGAAAUGGAACUUAGCAUAUGGUCAGUGGCAACCAGGGUGGAGCAUAGCAGAUGCAGACAACAACAUGUUUUCUAUGUAUUUGCACUGAUGUAUGUGGAAGGAACAGCCUUGUUUCCCAUGAAAACAAGAUGUUAACUGUAGAGUUAACAUCAUUCACUGUUUGUGUCCGAAAAAUAUUAAAGAAAUCGGCGUGAGCAGCAGUAGUCACAUAGAGCAGCUCUUUCUGUGUGUUGCUUUCCAGUAACAUUCUACGUAGCUGUGGUUGUCAAACCCUGGCAGAAGUACAGGGAUAUAGAGAUGAAACCUUUAGUGUGCCUGUGAAGAAAACAAUACAUAUUUCUUUGGUCAGCUUUAGAAAAAAAAAGACGAAAAAGAUGUUCAGAAAAAAGUGUUUCUGUGGCAAUUAGGAAGACACAGUUGUUUGCAGUGUGAUCUCAGGAACCAGUCCUGUUUGAAGGACACUUGUUCUUACUGUGGCUCCAAUUCAGGAAGGAUGUUUUGUCAUUCUGUGAACCCACUAUACAGCUGGGAUUGAAUGGAAAGGAAGGGCAAUUUAUUUCUCCACAAAUUCCUUUGGAAUUGCUUUAGGCAUGACAUUAGAGCCAAAUUAACUUUCAAGAAGCAGCUACUGAUGAAAUAGCCUUCUCUGCCUGCAGUUCCCUACAGUUUUCCCUCCUGGGUCUUGCAAGACAGUUUGGAUGACCACAGCUGUUCCACAGUGCAGAUCUUCUCAAAAAUUGGUGCUGGGUGACAGACUACAAAGGCUGGAGUUGAUUUUGUACUUGAAGUAUGACAUGCGUGUACUCUGAAAAUUAGGUAAUUUAAAGCAGCCUUGGCUAGAUGAUUCAGUGGCAAAGGUAGCUGGAUCCUGUAGUUAGUACAGAAGAUGAAGGCAAUAAAUACUGCCAUGGCUUGGGAUGCAGCAUGGUGAAACAGAUAGGAAUUUCUGAGUCGUAAUUUUUGCCUGCAGUUUGUUGCAUGGAUGUUCAGCAUGUGGUGAAUCUGCCACAGCUUUUCAUUUUCCAUUAUUUCCAAGGAAAUUACACGUGAGGGGAUCUUAUCAAUGCUUAAUGGUUGAGGGUCUUUAAGGAUGGGGCCAAGCUCUUUGUUAGCGGUGCCCAAUGAUGGAGGACAACGGGCACCACACAGGAAGGUUCCAUCUGAGCUCCAGAAAAUAAAUUAUUUACUUCGAGGGUGACAGAGUGCUGGAACAAGCUGAUCAGAGAGACUAUGAAGCCUCCUUCUCUGAAGAUAUUCAAAACCCAUCUGGACACUUGCCUGUGUGACCUGCUGUAGGGAAUCUGCUUUAGCAGGAGUCGGGCUGGGUGAUCUCCAGAGGUCCCUUCCAGCCCCUGUGGUUCUAUGAUUCUUUGAUUACCUCUUUCCUCCAGCUGGAAGAGACAUUUAUAAGAGCUCUAUCCUGUGCUGACUCUCUGCUCUUUGAUAAAAGGUGAGCACACAACGUAGUCUUCUGUUACUUAAUUAAAUGCAAUCAGGAGAGAGAAACAAAUCUUCAGAGAAUCAGUAUUUAGUAAUUUUGCUGCCCUCAGAGCUAUUUGUUUGCUUUCUGCCUUAUUCAUUAAAACAGGAAGUAGUCUCACAAGCAAAUUAAUUCUAUGGAAUUACUCUUAAGACAGAAAAAUAAAGGGUACUGGAGCACUGAAGUGCUAGCACUGGGACAGAGUGAUCGCAGAACACAUUGUUUUGUGUAUAAAAGGCCCAAAAUGUGUCAGAGUCAAUUGUUCAUUAGACCAUUAGUGUUAGUAGCAGUUUGCCCACAGAUUGCUCUCCCUUCUUCACAGGCAAUUUCCUCGGCAUGGUACUGUAGCUGUUGUUAUUGUAGUUAUGACUCCAGCUCAGACACUAAUAAAUCACAAUGUACAACUUUCCAUAUAUGCUGCCAAAAGACAGUGUCAGACAGAGCUGGGAAAUCCAGAUCUCGGAAAACUGAAAUUCACCUUCCAGAUCCAGUGGAGCAGAAGGAGAUAGGAUUCAGCAGCUGAUUUAAAAUACAGUUCACUGCAGUCACUUCUGACUUUCUAGACAAGCAUGUGACAUCUUAACAGCAAAGUAAGAAUUAAUCAGGAAACAAAUUUAACCACAGUCAUCUUGACAAUUUCUUACAGCUCACAAGAGCUCUCUGAAGGGAUCCUUGGCUGUCCCUGCACUGGGGCUGAGGACAGACCCAGCCAUUGUGGUGGAAGAUGCUAGCCCCAGCUGCCUGCCUCCAGCAUCUAGCCAGAGGUUACACCCCACAAACACGCAGGUAUUUUCAAACCUCUUUCAGAUAAGAUCAGCUGUGAUAGUUUAUGCAGCUCAUUUUCAAUAGUCUGCCUAUGGUUGAUGUGUGCAUGAGAAGUGUUGAGAUGGGAGAUAGAAACCCUCUACAAGGAGUAGUGACAAACAGCUGAGGACUGAUUACUAAUCAAUGGCUUCUACUGGUGCAGCUAUUUGCGGAGUUCACAUCCAUCUAGUAAACAGAAGUUGUAAGCUUGCACUUACAAAAGUUAGUCAUUCUGAAUGCUGUCACUGUAAAAAUUUGUCACAUUGUACCUGGGUAUUUUCAAAUACCAAAUUCCAGUUCACAGGCAAGCACCAGAUGCUGUGAUAUGAUCCUUCCCAGAUGUAAAAUCUCUGGAGGUUCCAUGUCUACAAAAUACAAGCUACCCAGGAAUAUCCCAUUUCAUUUAAUACUAGUUUUGGAAAUGUGUCGUCUGGACAUUCCAAUAUAAAAUGUAACCAGACAGUGCACACGCAUAGACUCACAAAAAAGUCAGAAGCUCUUUAUAUCCCAGGGAACACAGCUGGCCAAGAACACUACCACAAACAAACAAGAAAACAGGUCACUCACUGGGUGCUUCAGAAGCACUCUCUGAGAUUAUUCUGCCUGUUAAUGCAUCAGCUCUGUGAUUUCUUUUUUACAGCUGCCUAUCACCUGCUAGAAAUGCUACCUUCUUUUCUACUUUUUUACAGAAUACAGAAUAAAAGUAAAUAACACAGUGGGGAUUUUCCACCAUCUGCUAUAGAUAGCAUCACCAGUGUAGUACAAUAACUAAAGUUAGAAGAAAAAAUGUCCAUGUCAUCAGGGGAGUGCUGGAAAUGGUAAAGGAUGGGAAAGCAAUUCAGAACAGUGUACCUGAUGCCUACAGAGCAUGUUUUGGGUACCCCAUCCCUGGUGGCACUCAAGGCCAGGUUGGAUGGGGUCCUGGGUGGCUGAGCUGGUGGGUAGCAGCCCUGCCUAUGAUGUGGGAGUUGGGGCUGGGUGUGUUUUGAGGUCCCUUCCAACCCAAGCCAUUCUGUGAUUCCAUAUCAACUUUGGUUCUUUUUCCCAUUUAAGGCAGAAAACAAAAUCGCGUAACUCUGAUUCCUAUAAACAAUAUGGACUUUGAAUGACUCCUAUGAUCUGAAUAAAGGGUUUUACAGGUUUAACCAGUUUCCCAUUUUGCUUUUUGCCCAUGUGAUGACAAAUAUUUCUCUUGUUUAGAUUACUGAGAGACAACACUGGAAUCCAAGUUUGGAGAAUAAACACCUUUUCAAAUCCAUUCACUCAUAAGUCUGUCACUCAAAGACGCUUCAGAUUAUGGAAAACAAGGAGUAGGGGAAACUCAAAAUAUGUGCAGCAAGGCAGACUUUGGCA